UUCAUGGCAAGAACUUGGAUGAAAUUGGGAUAGGUCCAGAUGAAAAGGUUUUUGAAAGUGAAGAUGAAAGCCCACAGGAGGCACACUGUUCAUCUACUGCUGAUGCAGAAGAGACUCUUCCUCACAUCGAGAGCCCUGAAAUUCCACCAACCAAGAAGCGAAGACAACGGCCGUUGGUUGAAAUGCCGGAAGAAGUCGGCGCUAUGAGGCCUUCCUCACAAGGUGAACUCUUUACACAUGUCUUUUGUACGUCAGUAAAGAUUGUCUGUUCCUCUUUGGAAAUGGAUUUUAUUCAGUUUACCAAUUUAAAGUUGUAUCAGUUAUAACAGCCCUAUCAGAAUAUACAAAGGUUGGGGGAUGAAUUGUCAUUAGUUUAUUUUCAAUGCAUAUGCCUAUAAUGGGGGGAUUUAUGCAAUAUCUGUUUGGAAAUUGAAAGCUAAGAUGAUGCAUAUUAGCUUUCAAUUGGCU